AAGUCGUAACAAGGUCUCCGUUGGUGAACCAGCGGAGGGAUCAUUACCGAGUUAUUAGUCCAAACCCUUUGUGAAUCUUACCAUUUUGUUGCUCGGCGUACCGCGGGCCGCGGCUUCGGCCCGUCCCGCAGCGCGCCAGAGGACCCAACUCUUCAAUUUAUAGCGUACCUUCUGAUUUACAAAACAAACAAGUUAAAACUUUCAACAACGGAUCUCUUGGUUCUG
rnacentral:misc_RNA from 1 species